CAGCACCCAAUGUGGCUACGCCACAUCGCUUUUGCGCGUGCUGUCCGACUUCGCUACCGCUCAGUCGGACUUAAACUAGGGAUAGCCCCUAUGUUUGAGUAAGCCGGGCAAACGAGUGGAUCACAUGUUCGCUUGAUUCCGACGGCGGGUCGGUGGCCACAUCGCCCGGGCCUCGGCUAAGCCGCAUCGAAAUGGUACCCCUUAAACAUUCUAACUUGAAUCGGUUGUGUCACCGGAGCCGGAAUACGAAUUAGAUCCAGCCAGCAUUUCGGCUGAGUUAAACUGGGAAGUUUAGUAAAAUUUAAUCUGGAAAUAAAAUUUUUUUGGCAACGCUCCAGCACCCCGUUGAUUUCACCACCUGGGCGCCAGGUUGACGAUAUGAAAUGAACUUUGUUUACUUUCGACAAGUUUUGAUUCGAGCCAACAACAUCCAGCCCGCAACAAUCCAUCAAUUGACGUUGCAACCGGUAGAAGUGUUGCCAAUGACAGCCUUUAGGCCAUCGGUCAUGUCAAAUACACGAUCGUAUUCGAUCGUAGUUUUAUAGCCUUAGCUCAGCAAAUGAUUUGUUCGACCUCUUUCCGUUCUCAACCAUCCAGCGAGAUAGAAGUGCGCGUCGUGCUCUCGUUGAAAUAUAGUACAAUAGUUUCAUUAAAACAUAGUGUAUGAUUGUUAAAUGUGUGUUUCGUUGUAGGUUCAAGUGAUAGGAGAAGAUUGAAGAGUAGAAUAGUUCAAGUAGAAGUAGAAAGUGAAAAAAGACAGUUUUUGGGAAGAAAGAAGUGCAAGUAUAGUAGAAAAGUAGUAAUAAAAGGUUUUUUUGGUAGAUUCAUGCCGAAGGGAAAACAAUUAACCCCAAAUCGGCACAUUUAGGCCACAACCACAAUUAUUAAAAGGUCCCCCAGCGGACCUUUUAUGUUUGGGCCGGAACACCUUCCGGAGAAUUUCAUCCCCAGGUCGCCACCACCAUAUGGGCAUCAUCCGUCGCCAUUUUGUACGGGUGUGAGUCAGCAUUGUCUGGAAGCUGCUCAGCCACGCCUAAACUGAACAAGAUAAAAUCCAUUCGGAGUCACUCGCCGGACUUCCGAAUAUUGCGGAACGGAAAGGAACCAUCGCUAGCCAUUAUAACCGUCAGAAACAGCCACCACUACCAACCACCACCAUCCCCAGCCAGCUGCUCCAGCAAUCGCUCCGGGUACCCGUCGCAGCCACCGACAUCGUAGUUGCCAGACACGUAAACCGCAAGUACUUCAGUGACGUCAAACAUAAUUCAGAAGCUGUGCAUAAGUAAUAAAUUUGUAAUGUUAAUGAAA